rnacentral:misc_RNA from 1 species
AAGAUUUGCCUACAUCUACUAAGGUGAUAGAAGCAGUUUGAACUCCAUUAUCUUAACAGGCAGAAACAGUCCUCAUCUCGUCAUGUAUUGCCUUGUAGCAUUGGAGACUACACAGUGGAAGCUUCGACUUUGAAUCCCUGUACUUGUAAGGAUUUGUACAGGAUGGACCUGCACAUUUCUCUCGGGGAGGAGGGUACCUGCAAGGCUUGGGGUCAAAUAUACUUGGCAAGCCUAUCUCAUUGGGGAAUGUUACGACUGUUCCUGAAGGACCCAUGACCCAUCUAACAUGGUCUGAUGUAAGAAUCAUGGCAUUUGCAGCCUUCUCCUGAGCUAAUUCUUCUUGCCGUUUCUUCAUUUUAUCUUCUCGCUUCUUCCUACUGGAAUCUUGGCCAAGUAUUUUUCUGAUUGCCUCCGCCUCUGAUUCCCUAGCUGCCCUUUCCACUUGCAUCCUACGUCUUUGAAGAGCCUCAGCUCUCUUCAAUUGCUGCUCCACUUCAGUGAGUUUCUCUUUUUGCUUUUUAGGAGGAGCUGGAGGCAACCCAUUUGGGAACUCGAUUAAACUAGCACCAAAACUGGAGGAGCCAUCUUUGCCAGUUUGAAGUGCACGUUGACGUGUGGUAACUGUCAUUUCUUUCUUAGAAUCUUCCAUUAAAUCAACUAAUUCUUUUCUCGGUUUCUUCCUCUUUGUUGUUGGCUCACCAUCAGACCCUGGCUCUUCCUCUUCCACAUAGUCAGUAUCAUCAGAUACUCUCCCUGAUUUACUCUUCUUAAUCUCCUUGCCAAAUCUAGAUGAGCUAUGAUCUCCAACAUCUGCAUCAUAUAGACCACCAACAUUUCUUUUCAAUACCUUUGAUAUCUUCCGCUGUUUCCUACUUCUUUCUUCCUGUUCGUCUUCAUAUUCUGCACCAUAAUCAGCAGUGAUCUUAGAUGUUUUGACCUUUUCAAGGUAUCGAAUCUCAUCAUCAUCUUCAUCUUCAUCUUCAUCAUCAAGCACUCCAUCCAAUAAGCGUUUCUUUGGGACCCGUUUGCUCUUACGAACUGGCUCAUACUUAUCUGUUUGUUUCGAAGAGAGAUUUUCUUCAGGCAUCCUACCCCUCAAACCAUCUGCUUUCCCAACAGUUAAACUACUUCUAGAGAAAUCCUUCCAUGGGACUCCUCGCAAACCACUCCCCUUAUCUGAAGCAAAGGAACGAUUAUCCUCCAAAUCCUCAAUUGACUUCUGUUGGGGAUCUGGGAAGCGGGAGGAUCUGGUAGAAGAAGACCCAACAGCAGAUGCACCAUCAGAUGCAGACUUGGCAUUAAUAGUGCGUAUGACGCCACCAACCUUAAGCUUGACCUUUUUCACUUUAUUGUCAUUUCCUACUCCGUCUGAAACAACUCUACUCUGCCCCAAGCUGCUUGUGCUUUUCCAAUUAGCUGGGGCCAGAACACCUUCACUGCAUCUUCUAGAAUCAACUCCGCUGUGCCUCUGCUCAUUACUUCCUCGAAAAGAACCAUUGUUAGAAGCCUCAUCAGAUUCUCCAAAUCCUCCAUCUUCAGGCUUCAUUAUAUUACUGUCUGAAGGUGGCGUGGAUGAUAAGGAUGAGAUAUCAUGGUAAUCAGAAGGCAACUGUGAGUCGUUCCGAGGACGACGAGAUGUAGUACUCCUCCUCUUCCUCACAGCACUGCUUGCAUCACUAAACCCAAAACCCUCCAUAAUGGUCAAAGAGGUUGAAGCAAAUGCCUAGUGCUUUCUGGGUGGUAAUGAAAACCCUGAAAUCCCUAAAUCACCCUAUAAAAACAACCAUCAAGAAAUAGACAAUGUCGGCAGUUAUAGGGUUUGGGUUAACGGGUACGGGUAAGAAAAUUAGCCAGGUGGGAAAGCGUGAUUGGACAGAGAAAGGAGGAGGUGGUGGGUCUUGGAUGAAAUGAUGAGGGGUAGAGGAAGGGAGUGGCGCGAAGGACUUGCUGCAAGAUUCAUCAUCAUCUUUCUUUCUACAUCUAAAAAUCCACCAGUCGCCCGUGCUCUUGCUGUGUCACCACUUUCGUACUCUAUCUCCUCUCGCUGUAGGGUGAUGCAGCUUCCUUCGUUUGGGUCAAUAUCUUCCAAAGUCCAAACCUUUGGCCUUGCUCCGUUCGCGAACGCAGGAAGGUGAGCGC